CUCCAGCCUGGGCAACAAGAGCAAAACUCCGUCUCAAAAAAAGAAAAAACGCAGAGCCCUCAUGAAUGGGAUUAGUGUCCUUAUCAAAGAGACUCCAGAAAUUCCUUACCUCUUCCGCCAUGUGAGGACACAAUGAGAAGAUGGCUGUCUAUAAACCAGGAAUCUGGCUCUCACUAGACACCAAAUCACACCUUGAUCUUGGACUUCCCAGCCUCCAGAAUGGUAAGAAAUAGAGCUAUAUUGUUUAUUAACUAUUCAGUCUAUGGUGUUUUGUUACAGCAGCCCAAACAACAAGGGCCCACGUGGCUUAGUAUUUUGCUUGCAUAUACUUUGAGGGAAUUAUUUUGUAAAAUAAAUGGGCCGGGCAUGGUGGCUCACACCUGUAAUCCAAGCACUUUGGGAGGUCAAGGUGGGCAGAUCACUUAAAGUCAGGAGUUAAGACCAGCCUGGCCAACAUGGUGAAACCCCACCUCUAUUAAAAAUAUAAAAAUUAGCCGGGCAUGGUGGCAGGCGCCUGUAAUCCAAGCUACUGGGGAGGCUGAGGCAGGAGAAUCUCUUGAACCUGGGAGGCAGAGGUGGCAGUGAGCCAAGAUUGCGCCAUCGCAUUCCAGCCUGGGCAACAAGAGCGAAACUCUGUCUGAAAAUAAAAUAAAAACUAGGCCAGGCAUGGUGGCUCAUGCUUAUAAUUCCAGCACUUUGGGAGGCUGAGGUGGGUGGAUCACCUGCGGUCAGCAGUUCCAGACCAGCCUGGCUAACAUGGCAAAACCCCAUCUCUACUAAAAAUACAAAAAUUAGCUGGGCAUAGUGGUGCAUGCCUGUAAUGCUAGCUACUCGGGAGACUGAGGCACAAGAAUCUCUUGAACCUGGGAGGCAGAGGUUGCAGUGAACCAAGAUCGUGCCACUGCACUCCAGCCUAGAUGACAGAGACUCUGUCUCCAAAAAACAAAACAUAUUAAAACUAGCUGGGCAAGUUAAUCCUGUAAUCCCAGCUAUUCAGGAGGCUGAGACAGGAGAAUCAUUUGAACCCGGGAGGCGGAGGUUGCAGUUAGCCGAGGUUGCAGUGAGCCGAGAUUGCACCACUGCACUCCAAGCUGAGUGACAGAGCGAGACUCUGUCUCAAAAAUAAAUAAAUGACAGUGUGUAGACUAUGGUGCGAUGGUCACAAACCCAGUCUUUUCAGGAGCAGGAAACUUAAGGCAGGUGGAAUGAACUGGAACCGUUUUUGUUGUUGUUCUAGCUGAUUGUUGCUAGAUCUUAAGAAUUUUUUCAGGAGAAGCAAGAAAAUUAGGUAUUUAUAUACAUGUCUGUGGGCCACAUUUAAACACAGCCCUUUAAUUCUCACUGUCUGGACUAGCAAAAUAAAGAUGGGUUUUGGCAUUAGACCGAAGUGUGAAUUUUGGCACCAGGAUGUCCUAGUUGUGUGAUGUUGGGUAGGUAACUUCAUUCUCAAAGUGUCAGUGUCCUCUCCUUUGAAAUGAGGGCAGCUCUGCCCACUUGGCAAUGGGGUUGUGAUAGGUAUAGGAGGGCUGUCUACCACACAUGCAGUGACUAGCACUUAGGAAACUCCAGCUGAGGUCGUCUGUCUGCCAGCUUCUAAGUGACUCCUUCCAAUUUGCUAGUCCCAUUUUCCAGAGCUUUUGCUAAUAAACAUGACUGUCCUCAGGAGAAGCCUAUUGGGCAGAUGUUUGUAGAGUGUCAUGCUGCACACCAGGUGUCUGCACAUGUGUUUGCACCGCUCCAUCCCACAUCUGGAAGCAACAGCUCCAGGUGAAGGAGCAAAGCUGUCGAUCACAGAGGUGUAUGUGGAUCCUCCGACCAAACUGUGGCUUUGCUUCCUCAGUGUCAGCCACCAGGAUUGGUUUUAGGUGUGUUAGGCCAUUCUUGCAUUGCUAUAAAUAAAUAGCUGAGACUGGGUAAUUUAUAAGAAAAGACAUUUGGCUAGGCAAGGUGGCUCACGCCUGUAAUCCCAGCACUUUGAGAGCCCAAGGCCGGUGGAUUACUUGAGGUCAGAAGUUCGAGACCAGCCUGACCAACAUGGUGAAACCCCGUCUCUACUAAAAAUACAAAAAAAAAUUAGCCAGGCGUGGUGGUGGGCACCUGUAAUCCCAGCUACUCAGGAGGCUGAGGCAGGAGAAUCACUUGAACCUGGGAGGUGGAGGUUGCAGUGAGCAGAGAUCUUGCCACUGCACUUCAGCCUGGGUGACAGAGUGAGACUCUGUCUCAAAAAAAAAAAAAAAAAAAAGAAAAGAAAAGACGUUUAAUUGGCUCACAGUUCUGCAGGCUGUACAGGAAACAGUGCUAGCAUCUGCUUCUGGGGAGGCCUCAGGAAGCUUUACUCAUGAUGGAAGGUGAAGCGGGAGCAGGCGUCUCACAUGGUGAAAGCAGGAGCAAGAGAGAGAGUGGAGGCAGGUGCCACACACCUUGAAAUGACCAGAUAUUGUGAAAACUAUCACGAAGACAGUACCAAUCAUGAGGGAUCUGCCCCAUGAUCCAAACACCUCCCACGAGGCCUCACCUCCAGCAUUUAGGAUUAUAAUUCAACUUGAGAUUUGGGCAGGGACAAACAUCCAAACUAUAAGAAAUAAGGAUGAAAAAGGGAAUCAGUUGUACAUUUUAAGGCUUUCCUUUUUUCUGUUUAAGGAAGAAUGAGUCUUUUGAGAAUAAGAACAUUUAUAUUGCCUCCUUCCAAAUUCUCCUUGAAAGAGAUCCUCUGGCCACCUUUGGGAUUGCACAAGCCUGUCUCAUGCCCUCUUUGGGGCCAGUGUGUUUCAGCUGCUGCUGCAAAAGUAAGAUGUGUCAGUGCUUGUUAAGUAGGCUCUCAGUUCCAGGUAAGAGCAGUCAUACACCUAGAUGCCAUCAAUGUGCCAGGCAUUUUGCUCUGCAGCCGGGGUACAAGGAUAAGGGAGAGUCCUCAUGUUGCUCCUGAGUAAAGGAGGAUGGCAAGUGACUUCAUAGUGAAAGAGUGCAGUGUGAGGAUGACUGUGACAAAGGUCUAAUACCCAACCUGGGAGAAGGGUGCAGGGUUCUUAGUAAACAACUGGUGAAGGGGAAAUAUUAGUGGCUAGCAAGCAAAAAGAAUUGGGGGUACAUUUGGCAACAGUUUAGAGGGAAGGGUAUUUACAGUGGAGAGACAUCAUAAUCAAAGGCUAGAGGUGAGAGCACAGCAUGGCUGGGCUAGUGGAGUAUGGGGGACGCUGGGGAUGAGGCUGGAGGUCACAGCAGGGAGGACUCUGAGUGCCUUGCAAAGGAGAAUAGUUUUAUCCUGACCGCUCUGCACUUCAGUGAUUUUGAGAGAUGGGUGCUAAGAUGAAGUUACAUUUUACAAAGAUAACUCUUUGCUGUAGCAAGGAGAACAGACUGCAGGAGCAGGGAUGGUGGUGAGGUGACCAUAGUUGGGGGAUUACUGUAGUAACUUCAAGAGAAAUGAUGAGGCCCAGGCAAUAGAGGCUUGAGGAACCACAGUGAGGGGCUGACUUCAGAAACAGGCAGAGGGCGAGGUGAGUGCAGGGAGUGGAAGAGGGAGUGGUUGAAGAUGACUCCCAGGUUGUCGUGUUGGUGACAGAAUGGAACGCUGUGCCAUGGAUCGUGAAAUGGGACCCAGGAAGAGAAGCUGGUGUUGGGGGGCCAGGAGAUGUAGGCAGGGGAUGUGCCCAGUUUCAGAGGUUAAGAUUUUGGCAGGAUAAGGGCCCAUAGUGGGCAUUUACACGGACUGGUUUAGUGCUCAGGAGAGAGAUGACAUUGAGAUAAAAAUUUUGGAGUCAUCAUUAAAGACAUGGGUUAGAUGAAAUCAUCUACAGAGAAUGUGCAGAUAGAGAAGAGGAGACACUGGUGAGGAGGGAACCCUGGGGAAAUGGAGACUUCAGGAGCGGGUAGAAAAGCAUAGAAACGAGAGUGACUGAGAGACCAGAGGAAAAUCAGGAGAAAGCCAAUUAGGAGCUUCCAGGAGAGAGUAACGUAAAGUAUAGGGGAGGAUCCCUUGAGGCCAGGAGUUUGAGACCAACCUGGCAACAUAGUGACACCCCAUUGCUACAAAAAAAAAAAAUGAAAAUUAGCUGGGUGUGGUGGCAAGUAUCCACGGGCGGGGGACAAGGUUAUUUUGGUAAGCCUAGCAAACUCUGGGGCAGAGAAGUGGAGGGGUAGAAGCUUGCCUAUCUUGAGCUGAGGAGGGAGGAGGAAGUGAGAAAUGGAGGCAGCCAGAUGCUCUCCUUUGAGAAGGACCUAAUUCCUAUUCUCAUUGGUGUAACUUAAAAACAAAACAAAAGUGAUUAAAUAUUUCAAACAUAAAAGUAAAAUGAAGCUGGGCAUGGUGAUAUGUGCCUGUAAUCCAAGUUACAGGAAGCCAAGGUGCAAGGGUCGUUUGAGCCCAGGAAUUCAAGACCAGCCUGGGCAACCCAGUGAGACCCUGUGUCUUUAAAAAAAAAGAAAAGAAAAGAAAAGAAACACUCAUGACCCAAUUAACAGUAAACAUUUUGCUGUCUUUGCGUCAGGUUUUUACUUUUUGGACAAAACAUGACUAGUGUUUGAAACCCCACAUUUACCCUUUCCUGAUCCCAUUUCCCUCCCUCCAUGAGGUAACCACCAUCCUGAAUUUGAUGUUUCAUUCCCUUGCGUGGUUUAUACUUUUAUUACAUAAGUUUAUAUCUAUAAGCAAUAAAUAUAAUUGUUUUGCAAAUUUUUAAAGUUUAUUAUAGAGAUGGAUCAUGCUGAAUAUACUGCCUCUUGCUUUUUUCAUUAUCAGUACUGUUUUGGAGAUUUAUUUAUGUUGGCACAUGUGGCUCUAGUUAUUUCAACUGCUAUAUAGUAUUCCUUUGUAUAAAUAUACCACAUUAUCUCUCCAUUCUCCUGUGGUGGACAUUUAGUUGGUUUCCAAUUUUUUGUUCAAACAAGGUUGCAAUGAUCAUUCUUCUACAUGUCUCUUGUACACAUGUAGGGAUAUUUCUGGAAUAUAUAACUAAAAGUGGAACUUGCUAAGCCAUGGAUUACAGGCACCUUCAACUUCACUAGAUACAGUGUCAAACUUUUUCCCAAAGUGAUGGUACCAGUUUACAUACAAAAUAGCCAUUUAUGACAAUUCUAGAUGCUUCACGUCCUCACCAAUAUUUCAUUUGUUGAAAAUUUAAUUUCGGCCAAUUUGAUGCAGUUAUAUUCUAUAGUUUCCUUUAGAUUUUUACAAGGCCACCAAUAAUGUAGUGUAGAUACCACACAACUCUAGGAGGUGCUGUUCACAUUUUAGUCUUUGUGAACGGUGCAUUCUAGAGUUGGUACAAUAACAGUGGUCUUGAGUGAUGUUAAGAAUUUUGUUUAUUGACCUGUUAGGUUUUCUCUUUUGUAGGAAUUACACAAAAUAAUUGAUUAUAUACAUAUGAAAAAAUAGAUUCCUAUAUUAAUUAUACAUAAAAUAAAUUCAAGGUAAAUUAAAGAGCUAAAUGCCAGGCCGGGCAUGGUAGCUUAAGCCUGGCCAGCACUUUGUGGGGCUGAGGCAGGAGGAUUGCUUAAACCCACGAAUUUGAGGCUGCAGUGAGCUAUGAACAUGCCACUGCACUCCAGCCUGGGCAGCAGAGCGAGACCCCAUCUCUUUAAAAAAAUAAAAACUUUACGAUUUUUCUAUGUUAAUAAAUGAGAUCUAUAAUUUCUUUUUUCUCUUACACUGUCUUUUUGUUUCUGUGGGUUUUGUUUUGCUUUGGACACAGGGUUUCACUCUGUCACCCAGGCUGGAGUAAAGUGGCACGAUCAUCACUCACUGCAAGCUUAAACUCCUGGGCUCAAUUGAUCCUCCCACCUUGGCCUCCCAAAGUGUUGGGAUGGGAUUACAGGCAUGAGCCACUGUGCAUGGCCUCAUGUUGUCUUUAUAAAGUUUUAACACUGAGAUUUGGUAAAAUUGACAAAUCCACUGUUAUUGACUGAUAUUCCAAAU
rnacentral:lncRNA from 1 species